rnacentral:rRNA from 1 species
AUUGAACGCUGGCGGAAUGCUUUACACAUGCAAGUCGAACGGCAGCACGGCCUCCGGUCUGCUGGCGAGUGGCGAACGGGAGAGUAAUGUAGCGGAACGUGCCCGGUCGUCGGGGAUAGCGUAGUGAAAAUGAUGCUAAUACCGCAUACGCUCUAUGGAUGAUAUCGGGGGGUGGCAAGACCUCGCGCGAUUGGAUGGGCCGAUAGAAGAUUAGGUAGUUGGUGGGGUAAAGGCCUACCAAGCCAACGAGCUGUAGAUGGUCUGAGAGGACGACCAGCCAUACUGGAACUGAGACACGGUCCAGACGCCUAGGGGAGGAAGCGGUGGGGAAGUUGGGACAAUGGGCGAAAGCCUGAUCCAGUCAUUCCGCGUGCAGGAUGAAGGCCCUCGGGUUGUAAACUGCUUUUGUACAGAACGCAAAGGUUUCUACUAAUACUAGCAGCUCAUGACGGUACUGUAAGAAUAAGCACCGGCUAACUACGUGCCAGCCGCCGCCGUAA